CUCUUACCCACCACAGUUCUCUCUGCCCAGCACAGACCGGCCUUUGCCUGCUUAAUGGAGAUAUUCCUGUGAACAGAAGAAAAAAAAUAAUUGGCAUAGCAAUGCCUUACAGCCCUGAAGGAUUCAUGAAAAAAUGGAGAAGGUAGAAAGACAUCCAGACGAAGACCGCAUUCAAGGCCUCCUUCCUGUGUUCCCCAGCUAUGACUCUGUCUAUUUGUAGCUUCUAAUUUGUGUGGAUUGGCUGGAAGUGGCCAGAAGUACCUAGCAUGCGUGCAUGCACAUGUUGUGCAUGUGCUCUUACAUGUCAGAUGGGCUCAUGUAUGUGUGCUCAUGCACCAGCUACUUCCAGCCACUUUUGACUGAAGAGGAGAAGGGGUGGCAGGGAGGUACACUGCCACCCCAAAG